CUAUAUUAAUAUCCAGAUUAGUCAGAAAGGGAUAUAGUCACUAAAUUGAGAAUUUUCAGAAAAAUGACAAAAGCAUUGGAAAUGUAAAAGAACACUAUAGUGUUAGGAAUACAAAUGUAUACUCCUAACGCGAUAGUGUCCUAGUCUUUGUUUAGAUGACUGCGACCCCCAAUACUAAAAAUGUAGUUUACUUACCUUUUCUCCUCACCACAGUGUUCUCUCAAUCUUGUUUAUCUCAGCCAAUCCAAUGCUUUCCUAUGGGGACUGGAGGGCAUACGCAAAAAACAAACAAACGCCACACUGCGCAAUCAAAUGAUCUCUAUGAGACCAUCUGAUUGAAACUUGGCUUUUUCAUUGGAAGUGCCUCAAGAGGCUGCCAGAGUAACAGCCACUAGAGGCAUUUAAAUCCUGCAAUGUAAACAUUGUUGUUCCUGCAUAAUGACAUUGUUUUAUACUGCGGGGUUAAACCAUAAGUGAUCUGGCACCCAAAUCAAUUCAUUGAGAUGUUGUCUGUGUGCCUAUAGUGUCCCUAUAACUACAAAAUAGCUGAAUAGAAAAUAUAUCUUGACCUUCAUUAGUUUUCAAGCUUGG